UAAGGAAAAAAAUCAUCUUCAGUUUUGAAAGACUUAGAUUAUAUAAGUUUUUCUUUUAGGUAAAUUUUUACCUUUUAAAGUUCUUUGAAAAGUAGAUAAAUAUAGCUUUUAGAAUUAUAAUGGAAUUAAAGGAAUUAAGAGCGUACAGUGGAUGCCUUGGCACUAAGAGCCGAUGAAGGAC
rnacentral:misc_RNA from 1 species